UGAUAUGUAUUCAGUAUCUCUAAGCAUAU
rnacentral:piRNA from 1 species